GGUUAAGCGACUAAGCGUACACGGUGGAUGCCCUGGCAGUCAGAGGCGAUGAAGGACGUGCUAAUCUGCGAAAAGCGUCGGUAAGGUGAUAUGAACCGUUAUAACCGGCGAUGUCCGAAUGGGGAAACCCAGUGCAAUUCGUUGCACUAUCGUUAACUGAAUACAUAGGUUAACGAGGCGAACCGGGGGAACUGAAACAUCUAAGUACCCCGAGGAAAAGAAAUCAACCGAGAUUCCCCCAGUAGCGGCGAGCGAACGGGGAGCAGCCCAGAGUCUGAAUCAGCUUGUGUGUUAGUGGAACGGUCUGGAAAGUCCGACGGUACAGGGUGAUAGUCCCGUACACCAAAAUGCACAGGCUGUGAACUCGAAGAGUAGGGCGGGACACGUGGUAUCCUGUCUGAAUAUGGGGGGACCAUCCUCCAAGGCUAAAUACUCCUGACUGACCGAUAGUGAACCAGUACCGUGAGGGAAAGGCGAAAAGAACCCCGGCGAGGGGAGUGAAAAAGAACCUGAAACCGUGUACGUACAAGCAGUGGGAGCACCUUCGGGUGUGACUGCGUACCUUUUGUAUAAUGGGUCAGCGACUUAUAUUCUGUAGCAAGGUUAACCGUAUAGGGGAGCCGCAGGGAAACCGAGUCUUAACUGGGCGUUAAGUUGCAGGGUAUAGACCCGAAACCCGGUGAUCUAGCCAUGGGCAGGUUGAAGGUUGGGUAACACUAACUGGAGGACCGAACCGACUAAUGUUGAAAAAUUAGCGGAUGACUUGUGGCUGGGGGUGAAAGGCCAAUCAAACCGGGAGAUAGCUGGUUCUCCCCGAAAGCUAUUUAGGUAGCGCCUCGUGAACUCAUCUUCGGGGGUAGAGCACUGUUUCGGCUAGGGGGUCAUCCCGACUUACCAACCCGAUGCAAACUACGAAUACCGAAGAAUGUUAUCACGGGAGACACACGGCGGGUGCUAACGUCCGUCGUGAAGAGGGAAACAACCCAGACCGCCAGCUAAGGUCCCAAAGUCAUGGUUAAGUGGGAAACGAUGUGGGAAGGCACAGACAGCCAGGAUGUUGGCUUAGAAGCAGCCAUCAUUUAAAGAAAGCGUAAUAGCUCACUGGUCGAGUCGGCCUGCGCGGAAGAUGUAACGGGGCUAAACCAUGCACCGAAGCUGCGGCAGCGACACUAUGUGUUGUUGGGUAGGGGAGCGUUCUGUAAGCCUGCGAAGGUGUGCUGUGAGGCAUGCUGGAGGUAUCAGAAGUGCGAAUGCUGACAUAAGUAACG
rnacentral:rRNA from 1 species